rnacentral:lncRNA from 1 species
UAUUUUCUUUUUACAUUUCUUUCUACCGUUUGAAAAUGGCGACGGUCAUCAUGCGAUUGAGCACAUGUACUGACGGUACAUGUGCAGAGACCACACAGCGCAGCGCGCGUGGCCACGUACGUGCAAUACGUACGAGAGCUAGCUACCGUUUACCGGCGGCCGGCGGGGGGGCCAGCGCCACGUUCCGGUACCCAGACCCAGCGUUAAGAAGUUAAGAGUGACUGACCAGAAUCAGAAUGGCGACCUGGCAAAUCUUAUUAAAAGAAUGGGACCAUGAAGUCCUCAUUGAAACUUUCGAAGUAAAUGGAAUUGAUGAUGAUAGUUUCUGGCUGUUGGAGAGCGAGGAAAUUAAAGAGCUUAUUCCAAAGAUGGGACCUAGGCUAAAAUUCAUCAAAAAAUUCUCUGUACAGUAACUGCUGCCAAAAAUAAUCAACAUGUCAUCUUUCAUCUGCUGCAAAUGUCUUUCUAAAAUUCCUGGAGGAAUUUCUGGGCUAUUUUGCCACCUGAAAGUAGUCCAUGGUAUACUAAAAUCUAUUUGCACAAAACUUGUUUGUGUAGAAUGUAAGGAAAUUUUGCGCCGUGGAUCAUCAUACAAAAGGCACCUCAUACAUGUCAUAGGGCAUUUGCAACCCCCUACAGUUCACGCUGAUGACCAGUGAAAAGCUAAUAGAGUUCCUCAUAUUGACAUAUCUGACUUAUCUAAUGUAAGCAGUCAUGGGGAAUCAAGUGAUGAUGACUGUAAUCGUGUUGAAAUGAAUGUAGAUGCUGAUAUCGUUAAUGACACUGAAUAUGAUUCUCAAGAAAGCCUAUCAGACCUUGUAGCUGCUUUUUAGCUCAUUUACAAAGCAUUUUAAUUACUGUUAACUUGGAGUGUUAUUGCCAAGAAAUCAUGGCUUUUGUAAGACUUUUAAGCAAUCACUGUUUAGAAAGGGAAACACCUUUAGUUGUUAUUUGUAUAUUUUUUGUUUUAUUGUUUAUAUUCAAAAGGAACUAGUACACCUUUUUUUCAACAGGCUUUUUAAAAGGUUUAGCCUUAAGAAAUUCAUUAUUUCUUUUUAUAACUCAAUUUUGAUCAUUGUCAUUUAUAGAGCAUACAUGUAAGUUGUUCAAGAAUGCAUGUUUCUUUGAAGACAUUACAGGGGGAAACUACAUUGGUAUCAUUUUUUUUUAUUCUUUUGAUCUUAGUUGUAAUUGAGAACUGUUAUUACCAUCACCAUGUGUAAACUGAAUAAGUGUUAUAUGGUGUAACAUGCCAGUAAAUGGUUCAUGGCCUUCUAGUUUUAUAGAGCUCUGUGUGAAGUAAUUACAAUGGAGGAACCUUUAUAGAUUUGAUAGUCAUAUUCUAUUGUAAUGACUUGUUUAUUUGAAUAAGAUGCCAGAAAGAUACAAUGGUAGAUUUUUCCGCACCCAUUUUGCCCCCCCCCCAAAAAAAAAGGUUAAAAACUGUCCAGUAUUAAUUGUGAACUCAAUUAUUAAUAUUUCAAAGUGUUUCCUAUAAACUGUAAGAAUGCUUAAUGUUGAUAUCCCUCUCAAGAGGUCAUGUCAAGUCUUUUAGAUUAAAAUGGGAGAACACCCGAUUGCAUUUUAUGUGUAGCAUAAACAUAAUUCAAUGACACAUUGCUCCCUAUAUAGAUUAAAAUUGCCAUCAGUUCAGGCUACAAUGGUAAGAUAUGCCAAGAAUCCAUCUCUGUCUAUUGAGACUAUAGCCUUAAAAUGUAAUUGAUACCAAUGUUAAGAGUGAAAGCACUUUUGUCAAUAAUUUUAUAAAGACAUAGGGAAACCAGAGGUUCAAAAGAUAUCAACAGUGUGUAUGGGUAUUCAAUAAAGGGGACAUUUCUGAAUAUAUUUUAAUUUUCAAAUAUGCAAUACCCCCAAUACAAUGAAAUCAUUUUAGAAUACAAUACUUUAUUUUAAGAUAAUUUUUUCUGAAAGUUGCUUCGAACAUGCAACCAAUUUAAAAUAAAAAACAAAAACAAAAUGGGGUUGUAUGUGAUAGGGCAUACAUUUGUUUACAAACAUGUGGAGGUAAAAGUUUACCAUUCAAUGAAAAUAUUCAAUUUUUCAAUUGAAUCAUGUGAUAUUGAUUAUAAGAGAAAGUACUAGCCCCAGAUUUACAUUGGAUACUGUGUACUAAGCCAUUACAAGAAUUUUGCAUAAUUGAUAGAAAUACAGAAUACCGUAUAGGUGGCACAAAUAUCUGAGAAGUCUUUAUCUGGUGGUCACAUGUGUCUAUUGUAAACAAAAGCUUACAAGAAAGAGUUUUUGGUCUUCUACCCCCCCCCCCCGUGAUGGGGAGGUAUGUCUUGAAAUAUGACAUCGAGAGAGCGAAGGCCCAUUUUCUUUAUAAAUAUGUCUCAUAUAGUGAUUAGAUUUGAUUUAUGCUUAUUUCAGAUGUAAGUCAUGGCAUGUCACAGAAAAUUCCAGAUUUCUUUGUAGAGAAGUUGUAAUGAACAUAUUGCAGCUUUAUUAUUUUACCUUUAAAAAAGUUCAAUGCAAGUUGGUUAAUUAAUUUUAAGAACUUAAUUUCUUUUCUAUCUGAUGUUUUAUUGUCAAGGGAUGUUAUUUCUUAAAAUAAACACCAAAUCAUGUACAUGGUUUCUUUGUCAAAUAUUUGACUUAUUUAUGCAUUUUAAUUUUCUAUGCAUGUUCACAUAGUCAAAUGUUGCCCCUCCCGUCUACAUUUGGAAGGUAGUAAUACACUAAUUUAGCUAAAAUUAUUUGGGAAAUAUCUUGACACAAUUAGAUUUUUUUUCAAAGGCAGUUUAACUAUACUUAUUACACCUGUAUCAUUUUAUGUCACAAUGGUUAUGAUUUUUUGCAUGGUAAUUUACAAUGUAAACUAUAAUAUUUUAGGCCUCAGGUAUGUAGGUUGGUUUUGAAAAUAGAAAAUGAAUUAAUUGGGUUUUGUAGUUUACAUAAUGAUUUGAAUAAUUGUGAAAUUUACUU